GCCUACGGGACGCAGCAGUGGGGGAUAUUGCACAAUGGGGGGAACCCUGAUGCAGCGACGCCGCGUGAGCGAUGGAGUACUUCGGUAUGUAAAGCUCUGUCAGCAGGGAAGAAAAUGACGGUACCUGACUAAGAAGCCCCGGCUAACUACGUGCCAGCAGCCGCGGUAAUACGUAGGGGGCAAGCGUUAUCCGGAUUUACUGGGUGUAAAGGGAGCGUAGACGGAGGAGCAAGUCUGAUGUGAAAAUCCGGGGCCCAACCCCGGAACUGCAUUGGAAACUGUUUAUCUAGAGUGUCGGAGAGGCA
rnacentral:rRNA from 1 species